rnacentral:rRNA from 1 species
GACGAACGCUGGCGGCGUGCUUAACACAUGCAAGUCGAGCGACGCUCUUCCUUCGGGGAGAUGACGGAGCGGCGAACGGGUGAGUAACACGUGGGCAACCUGCCCCUAGCUCUGGGACAACACCGGGAAACCGGUGCUAAUACCGGAUACGACAUCGAGCGGCAUCUCUCGAUGUGGAAAGUUUUUUCGGCUAGGGAUGGGCCCGCGGCCUAUCAGCUUGUUGGUGGGGUAAUGGCCCACCAAGGCGACGACGGGUAGCCGGCCUGAGAGGGCGACCGGCCACACUGGGACUAAGACACGGCCCAGACUCCUACGGGAGGCAGCAGUGGGGAAUAUUGCGCAAUGGGCGAAAGCCUGACGCAGCGACGCCGCGUGAGGGAUGACGGCCUUCGGGUUGUAAACCUCUUUCAGCAGGGACGAAUUCAGACGGUACCUGCAGAAGAAGCACCGGCCAACUACGUG